UAUCGCUACUUUUUUCUGCUUAGUGAAUUAUUUGAGUAGAAGUUAGUCAUCAGGAAGAUUUGAGUUUUGUUUUCCAACAUGGCCGCCGCCAGCACACACCGGUCAGCAUUCACUUCAGAAGAAAUACGCCCCGCGGCAGAUUGUGCAGGAGGACAAGAUUCAAGUGCGCGUGCGCGUGACCCCCACCAGCUGUAGUGAGGAGGGGCGGUGGUGGUUCCUCGGUCGCUGGGAGGGUGGGAUCUGUGUCAGCACCUCAACAACACUGCAGGGGAACAUCAGGGGGAAAAUACAUCAUCAGAGAUGAAAAUAUAUCCCGUAAAAAAGUAACAUUACCGUUCCACAAGAUACUGGCGAUUGCUGAGCAACCUUUGAGUGACCAGAGAGGAUUUGUGUGAUUCCAUAGUUGGAAUAAGACGCACGGCGUAAAAGUAUUUGAAUCAAACGACACCAAACAUACAAUAUGUGAGAGUCGGUCUUUAUUUAUUUGUGACAUAUUAUUGUUAGUCGCUCAGCUGAUAAGUGAUCACAGACUCUAUAGUUGGGAGAGGGUUCCAGAUAACAUUUGGAGACCAAGAGAGUGGUAUUGAGUUAGGGACUGGCUUGACACAAAGUGCAACGCUGCACGAUUUAAAAAUCGGCAGCUUAAUAGCACUUAUUACCUUCGUUACGUUACUAAAGCCAAUUAAUUUAUAUUUAAAAAUAACUGUUAGAGAUGAAAUGCUUGUGGGUAAGAUAUCAUUGAACGCCAAAAGAUACGUCAUAUGAUUUAUGUAAUUGUGUUUUAAUCCAUUAUCUUUUGUAUAUUUACACGCAUUUUAACGCCAGACUAAGAUAAAAGAAACUAUUGUUUUUAGUUUCUGUAGGUUAGCUUUGGGGUAGUGGGUCAGAGGGAGUAGGAAACAGGGACGCUUUUAUCAGGAUUCAUCCCUCACAGGGGAGGGGGGCAGUUAGUGAGGACAGACAAGGCGCUAAUGUCGAAUGGAGGAAAGUCUAUGUCAUGAAAAUUCAAUCAAGGAAAUGCUUGUCUACAGUUUUUGUUUGCAAAUGUGACAUUGCAAAUCUAGACCAAUUUCAUAUCAAUACAGAUGCAGUUUCACAUAUCACCUGUAAGAUGCACAUAGAUGUAUGUUAUAUCCAAUAAUACCACACAUGACAUAUGAUAGUGUAAAAACACAAUGAUUAGCAAGGUACAACGAAGACCCACACGUAUUAUAUCACUGCAACAUUAGACAGAGUAUUAGACCUGAUUACAUCCUUUAACAGCAAUGACGAUAGUAGAUUUACAAUGGGAGAUGCAGUUAUUUGCUUUGAGGACAUAAUUAAUACCGUUAGUUUUAAACAUAAUAGCCUGGUAACCAUUUCCAAUCGCUUUGUUUAGGAGUGUUUGCGGGCCCCAGUUCUACUACGCACUGGUCUUGUUUUGUGUCUGACAAUCUUUCCAGUUGGCCUUAAAAGUGUUGAAACCAACCCCGUAAGGAUUCACCGGUGUGUGCUUCUGAACUGAGCGGGCGGACAACACUCACAGCACCGACGACCUACCGAGGAGCUCCCGAUGUGGUUUGGGUCGCUGGCCAACUCCGUCCUUGUACAAUGUUGAAGAAGCCCCGAAUGACGACGUUUAACACAUCUGGAUCCCACGGAGAGGGCCACACAAACUAACAGUCGUCAGACGACUUCAAGAAGGUUCAAAACGGUUCAUCGACGUUGGCGAAGACUCCUCAAGGCUUUCUUCAUCCCCAAAGACACGUCUUGUCCAAGAAUAGUGCCACCCAAGUACUGUUUCUAUUUCUUGUUGAAAAGAUUUUGGUCUUAAAUCCACAACGAGGAAUUGCUAGUUGUCUAUGUUGUAUUGCUUGAGACAACAACGACCGAGUUUAUGAAGCGAAACAUUAUUAUUUCACCUGACGGGUGGGCAAAUGGUUUUUGAAUUUAUUGUAUAUACAGAAAUAGCCGAUAGAUUCUCAGAAAAAAAUAUUUUAGAUGUAUUAUUUUGGUUUUCCAAUGGGAAACUCGCUACUAGCGACUGAAGCAUGCAAGCUGCUCAAUAGUAGAAGUCUAUUUUUUCUGCUUACUCGCUACCCAACUUCUAGGCAAUAGAAGAUUUAAUGCCACAGCAAAACGCUUUGGACCAGUUCAGUUCGGGUUCAGUUAAGAUUCUGUGUUUUGGAAACUGUCGGCAUCCUACAAUUUCACGGUACAUUUCUAGAGGAAUGGGGAAAAUUGCCCGGAGGCUGGCGUAACCCUUUCUGUCAUCGUGUGCCGGCCGACACCGCGCCAACCCGGGCGGCAGCCCUGCAAGGUGAUAUCCGUCUCCAACUCUUCGGCUCCCGUCUAUAAAGACGUGCCAUAUGGAAGCUAUAGAACUUAAUGCCAAGUUGGUACACAAAUAGCGAGCUGGGCGACAGUUCGCUAAUUGUGCCCCAGGACGCCGGUGGGCGGGGUAGAGUCU